rnacentral:rRNA from 1 species
UACGAAGGUGGCAAGCGUUACUCGGAAUUACUAGGCGUAAAGGGCAGGUAGGUGGCUUGAAAAGUCUGUUGUGAAAGCUCCCGGCUUAACUGGGAGAGGUCAACAGAUACUAUUAGGCUUGAGUAUGGGAGAGGGUACUGGAAUUCCCGGUGUAGCGGUGAAAUGCGCAGAGAUCGGGAGGAACACCAAUGGCGAAAGCAGGUACCUGGACCAUUACUGACACUCAGCUGCGAAAGCCAGGGGAGCAAAGCAGG